AUUUCCUUUUCAGGUGGGAGCAGUGUCAAAGACCUUGCUGGCCUGUUCUAAGACACCCGGCCCUGGUUCUAUGGCUACGGAACCUGCCCUUUUAUUGGGAGAUGUGAGGCUGUGCUGCUCCAGGCCAAGAAACUUCCACUGCUGGGCCAGAGAGAAAGUGUGCCGCAGCCAGGCCAGAGCUGCACACAAUCACAGGCCAAGACUCCUUCAAAAAAGAGAGGCCAGGUGCCUGGCCUGUGCCUGUGGUCCAUCGUCGAAGUCUGCGGUUCCUUCUCCCACCUCUUUUCCGUCGUUCAUCUCCAUCUCACCACAGUGAUUGACAGGUUGGACACGGAUGGCCUCUGCCCCGAUCCCACAAGCCCUCAGAGCUCCCCAGCCCCCUCCCACACUGGCUCCCUCAGCCGUCCUGCCCCUCCAUCAGGCUGGGCCGCACAGCUCCAGCCCCUUGUCCACCUGCUGUGAGUUACCUGCGCGCCUCCUUUGGGUCUGAGACAGGAACACUCUCAACAAGUGGCAGCAGCAAUGAGGCAAUGUUCCCUUCACCCAGGUGCCACCCACACGUCACCCACGCUACCAGCCCCUCCACGGCUCCCAGGUACACCCAGGCCAUCCAAUCUAAAUAAACAAGCCCCCGAACAGAGCCAGUGGUGGGUGCCAUGAUGCUGUGACAACCUGAAGUGUCCAUCCCAGGGAACCAGCAGGAAGAAGAGGCCGGUUCAUGGAAUGCAUGUAGUGGAGUCCCUCCAGGACCAGAUCCUGAGACAGUUGGCAAGUUGGGCUAUGAACUGCUGAGGACUUGACAUGUAGGAGUUUCAAGUGGAAUUUCUAUGGCAUUUAACACCUUGCACAGGCCUGGCAUAUAGAAGGCAUCAAAUCAACAUUAAACAGAUGAAGCAUCAUUGAGUGGACUGAGAUGAAUGGGUUGGACUGAUGGAUGGAUGGAUGGAUAGAUGAAUGGAUGAAUGAUGGGUGGGUGGAUGGAAGAAUGGGCUGGUAGGUUCAUGGAUGGGUGGAUGGAUAGGUGGAUGAGUAGAUGAGUGGGUGGAUGGAUGACUGGGCAGAUGGACAGAUGGAUGGCUAUUUGUUCCACCUACUGGGUAAGCCAGUGGCUGGAUGAGCAGCUACACUAGGGCACCACUGACCAGACAAUGAUGAAACUGUUUGGAUUGGUGUUUUGCACCCCAGUACUCAGAAUCAUCCUGCUUUGACAUCUGCUUCCAGCCCCAGGUUCUCCAGAUCACUGAGCCAUGUGGCUGUUGGUCCCAGGUCACUGAGUUUAAGUGACUGCAACAUCUAUGUUAGGGUCCUGGGUCCUCAGGCACAGGACCAUGAUAGGAGUUUCCCAUUGGGCAGUGAGGUAGAGUGGGAUGAUGCAGUGGUGGACAGAAACUGGGCUUAUUCACUUUUUGGUUAUUUGUGGAAUCCCUCAGAAAAGUACUGUACUGCAGAAAUGCUUGUUUGGAUAGAUUUGAUAGAUUUUCUAUCAGCAAAUCUUUGGCUUUUUCACUCAAUUAACUAUUUGUUGUCAUUUCUAACCACUCUCCUGUUCACCUAUUUAUUUUUUGUCCACUUAUCCUUUACACUUAUUUUUCUAUCUACUUCUCCCCUAAUUACCCAUUCACAUAUUUACCUACUACCCACCCACCAUCCCACGCAUCUAUCCCUAGAUCUAUCCACUCAUUCCUCAAACUAGUCAUCCACCCAUCUUUCUACACUUACCUGCCUAUCAAUCCAUUCAUCCAUCCAUCCAUCCAUCCAUCCAUCCAUCCAUCUAUUCAUACAUCCAUCCAUUCAUCCAUCCAUCCAUCCAUUCAUCCAUCCAUUACUUAUCCAUCUAUCCAUUCCACACCCCCAUACCCCCAUUUACAUAACCAGCCCCCACACAGGCCUGUGUCUGAUUUGUACUUGUUUGGCCCAUAACAGGUACACUGCAAAUAUUUGAGCAUCAAAUGCAUACAAGUGAUCAGACCAAGAAGAGAGAGGGAGAGGCAGGGUACCUGAGGACAUCAGGCACAGCCAGGCCAGGCUGAGAUAGGGGUGGGAGCCCCCAGCAACUAGGAAGGAAUGAGCACAAGAUUCUGAAAAAAGGGGUUCAGAUCCCAGCCCUGGCACAUUGAGCUAGGUGAAUUCAGAGAGCUCCCCUCCUACAGAGUCCAGAGUCCCUCCACCCCCAAAGAAUAAGUUCUGUGAAGUAUUGGAAGAUGUGUUCGUUUGUGCUCUCAGUGAGUCUUCUAUGAUUGUUGUAAUAAAUUAUCACAA